AGAAUGGAGAUAUAAUCUCCAUCACGGUCUUGUCCUCUUUUGGGACCCAGAACCUCUUCUUGUAUUAGGAGGAGGGCCAUUGCAAUUACGAUAAAUAAUUCGUUAAUUAAAACAAAUUGUUUUAAGCAUAAUAGCAUACAACUGCUAAUUAAUCUUGAAGAUCUUUAAUCUGUGUACGUAUAGAACACAUUUUCUCAAAAUCUUGAAUAAAUUAAGAAUCAGUAAAACAAUUAUCAUUAAUAUUGAUGUUGCUCUAUAUAAGGAAUUUACCUUCUAAAUAUUUAUUCUUUUUUGAUAUCUUAUUUAUUUUCUUCUCUCAGGUAUCACUGAUCAUUCAUAAAAUAUUAAGAGGUUGUUGUAAUAUACAACUUUCAGCUUUUAGAUCUUAGAUCUAAAACUUUCUCAUAUAUAUCAAGAUUUCUAAAAAAUAUGCAGUUAAAGAACCUGUGUAUAAGGGGAUAAUAAUCUAGCAGUAGUAGUAAGAAGAUUAAUUAUAUCUUGAUUCUAAAGAUCUAUUUCUUUAAGGAUAGCAUUAAUUUGCAAUCUAUUGUGACUAAUCAUAAUCAAUAUAGUUAUUACUUGAGUACAUUUGUGUGACAUGUAACCUAAUAAUCUUUUUUUUAGAACAAUCUCUCCAUAAUUGAAAAUAUAACUUCACAUAUUGUGAAUAGAAGGUUUAUUAUUCCUUCUUUGAAUGUCUUUAUCUUCAAAUUUUAUGGUAUUAUCCAUACAUUCCAUAAGUCUAAUAUGUUUAUUUAUUGCUCUUACAUUUUUAUCGUUAAUCAUUGAAAAAAAUUUAGAAAGAAGUUAUAUAUAACUUAGAAACUUUAGCUUUUAAAGUUGUUAUUCCAAUAUUAUUCAAUAUAAUUUCAGUCUUAUAACUGAAAUAGAUAUUACCUAAAUAUUUGUUAUAUAUACAAGAAAAUUAUUUCUUUUUUCCUAAAAUAUCAAUUUUUGAAAAAAAUAUUUGUAUAGCUGUUUCUUCUGGUUGUCAAUUCAUAUGUGACCCCUGUGAGAAAAUUCCUGGUAAGAAAAUCAUGGAGGAGAGUUAGUAUACCUUUGAGUAAUCAAUUUCAAAAUCAAAAGAAGAUAAUUCAGCUUGUCAUCUAGCAAAUAUUGUUUAAGAUGCAAAGGUUUUUAAUAUUUUUUUUCAAAACCUAUUAACAGCUGAACAAUCAAACUCUUAAAAUACAAGUUGAUUUACGAAAAUAAUCUUGAAAUUAGAAAUGCAUUGAACAACAGAUAACAUUUUUUUUUAAUAGUAGAAUAAUUUAUUUGUGCCCUGAUUUCACAUUACCGAAGUAAAAUGUAUAACUUCUUCCUUUUUAGUUUCAAGAUUAAUUUAUUUUAAAAUACCUCCAUAACCAAUAUUAGAAGCAUCAGGUUCCUCUUGUUAGAUUUUCUUAUGCCUGUUACUAUGUACUUUAUCAAAAUUUACUGUAGGCAUCUUUUUCUCUUUUGUUUUCUUAGUCAGUAGAAAUAAUUCUGUUGUUUUUUUAUUUUAUUGCUUGAAAGAAAAGAGGAUCACGUGACGUUGGGGCCCAAUGUAUAUCCGGCUGGAUUCCUUCUCUUCUAUUUAAAGAGAGUCUUUCUCCUUGUGAAAGCAUAAGUUUUCAGAGUUUUCCUCUCUCUUGUAUUCUCUCCUCCUUUAUAAAAUUUCUCUAUUCUUACUUUUAAUAAAAUAUCAUUAUAAUAUAAGUCAGUCUUCCAAUAAUAUAUCAUCAUAUAUAAAAGAAGUAUAUAUAUAUAUAUAUAUAUAUAUACACACGAGUAAGAUCCGAAGUCACAAAUAUUGACACAAGUUUAGACACUCUAUUAUGGCUCUUGAUUUUUCUUGAAAUCAAUGGCUGAUAUUAGAGGUUAUCAAACCCACUGAUUCCCACACACUCCUAGCAACACCUCCAUAACCCCCAUCUCUCUCUCUCUACAACUCUGUGACCUCCAUUCCUAAGAAAAAAACAUAGGCCUCUCAAGCUUUUUCCCGAUUCUCGUUCUAUUUUUUUUCUCAGCAAGAUCGCUCAGCCCAAAUAAACAACAAACACCAAAUCUACAUGGACCCAUGCUCAACACAACAGAUGACACAAGCAAGCAAAAUAUAUGAAAAAAAAUUCGUAUUUUGAUCGCCCACCCAAAAUUUUUUGAUUUGGUCCUUCACAACACUGUAUUAUUUCAGUAAAAUUGGCCUUGAUUACAAUUUAUUUAUCACCAAAAGAGGUCAAGGGACUUUUUUUUUUCGGAUGGGACAAGGACCCAUAAGCCUGAGAAGAGGACACAAAACCCAAUAUGGAAACAAAAAUUGAGGCCUCUCUCUUUCUAGUUGGUGGGUAUUGUGUUUCUAAAAGAUGUCAUGGCAUUUAGUAAUGGGAGAAGAAAGAAGAGGAGAAAGAGAGGGACAAAGAAGUGCAUGGGAAUCAAUAGGUUUGAUAACCGCUAAUAUCAGCCCUUGUUUUAAAGAAAGACAAGGGUAUAGGAUGGAGGUGUCAAAACUUGUGCUCUGGUC
rnacentral:lncRNA from 1 species